CAAUUAGAACUGUCUAAAAGUGCAAAAAUUCCCAUUGGGUCCUAACCCCCUUCUCUCUUUCCCGUUAACGCCGACCCCAGUAGCUCUCCUCUCCCCUUGGUCUCAUUUUUCCGACGAUGCUAGCCUUCAACCAACGGGCGUGAUCUCUUCCUCUCCUUCGCAGCAGCUCCGGUUACUGCUUCCCCUAUCUCCGGCCUGCCAGUCUUAGCGCAAAGAUAAGAGAGACAGACAACGAUUUGGUAUCGCCAGCCAACCUCAAGCAAUUUUCGACUACUCUUCAAUUAGGGAUUUAAGGACAAAAAUUUGGAUUUCGUUAGAUAUAGACGUAAUUUGUAGUGGUUGGCUAUAGAACUGAAUCCUAUAUGGAAUUUGCUAUGUUUUGGCAUAUGAGUUGCAAGAUUCUGGAAUCAUGGCACCUCCAGCCACUACGAAGGGCAGCGACGGCGGAGGAUCCGGUGACCGGAAUUCCUAAUAGACAGAAGUAGAUCCUUCUUUGUCCCCGUUAAAGCUCUAUUUCCUUUACCACAGAGCUAGAAAAGUAAUUUCCUAAUUCCA